rnacentral:rRNA from 1 species
UACGGGGGGAGCAAGCGUUGUUCGGAUUUACUGGGCGUAAAGGGCGCGUAGGCGGCCAGCACAAGUCAGUUGUGAAAUCUCCGGGCUUAACUCGGAAAGGUCAACUGAUACUGUGCGGCUAGAGUGCGGAAGGGGCAACUGGAAUUCUUGGUGUAGCGGUGAAAUGCGUAGAUAUCAAGAGGAACACCUGCGGCGAAGGCGGGUUGCUGGGCCGACACUGACGCUGAUGCGCGAAAGCUAGGGGAGCGAACGGG